AACGUAGGACGCAAGCGUUAUCCGGAGUUACUGGGCGUAAAGCGCGGGCAGGCGGUCACUCAAGUCUGAUGUGAAAUCUCUCCGCUCAACGGGGAGCAGCCAUUGGAAACUGGGCGACUGGAGUCUGGCAGAGGUAGGCGGAAUUCCGGGUGGAGUGGUGAAAUGCGUAGAUAUCCGGAGGAAUACCAAAGGCGAAGGCAGUGUCCUGGAGGGUAACUGACGCUGAGGCGCGAAAGCUAGGGGAGCGAACAGG
rnacentral:rRNA from 1 species